AUUGAACGCUGGCGGCAGGCCUAACACAUGCAAGUCGAGCGAGCGGCGCGCGGGGGAGUAAUGUAUGGGGACUGCCCGUUAGAGGGGGAUAACUACUGGAAACGCUGUCUCUUACCGCCUACUAUCUGAUUACCCAUAUGGGAUUAGCUAGUAGGUGAGGUAAUGGCUCACCUAGGCGCCGAGCCCUAGCUGGUCUGAGAGGAUGAUCAGCCACACUGGGACUGAGACACGGCCCAGACUCCUACGGAGGCAGCAGUGGGGAAUAUUGCACAAUGGGCGCAAGCCUGAUGCAGCCAUGCCGCGUGUAUGAAGAAGGCCUUAGGGUUGUAAAGUACUUUCAGCCGGGAGGCGUUACCGACAGAAGAAGCACCGGCUAACUCCGUGCCAGCAGCCGCGGUAAUAC
rnacentral:rRNA from 1 species